UACGAAGGGUGCAAGCGUUACUCGGAAUUACUGGGCGUAAAGCGCGCGUAGGCGGCUUUGUAAGUUAGAGGUGAAAGCCCGGGGCUCAACCCCGGAAUUGCCUUUAAGACUGCAUCGCUUGAAUCCGGGAGAGGUGAGUGGAAUUCCGAGUGUAGAGGUGAGAUUCGUAGAUAUUCGGAAGAACACCAGUGGCGAAGGCGGCUCACUGGACCGGCAUUGACGCUGAGGUGCGAAAGCGUGGGGAGCAAACAGG
rnacentral:rRNA from 1 species